rnacentral:rRNA from 1 species
UACGGAGGGUGCAAGCGUUAUCCGGAUUUACUGGGUUUAAAGGGUGCGUAGGUGGGUCUGUAGGUCAGUGGUGAAAUCUCCGAGCUUAACUCGGAAACUGCCAUUGAUACUAUAGGUCUUGAAUUAUCUGGAGGUAAGCGGAAUAUGUCAUGUAGCGGUGAGAUGCUUAGAUAUGACAUAGAACACCAAUUGCGAAGGCAGCUUACUACGGAUCGAUUGACACUGAGGCACGAAAGCGUGGGGAUCAAACAGG